AUUGAACGCUGGCGGAAUGCUUUACACAUGCAAGUCGAACGGCAGCACGGACUUCGGUCUGGUGGCAAGUGGCGAACGGGUGAGUAACAUAUCGGAACAUAUCCAAUAAUGGGGGAUAACUAAUCGAAAGGUUGGCUAAUACCGCAUACGCCCUACGGGGGAAAGCAGGGGAUCUUCGGACCUUGCGUUAAUGGAGCGGCUGAUAUCUGAUUAGCUAGUUGGUGAGGUAAAGGCUCACCAAGGCGACGAUCAGUAGCUGGUCUGAGAGGACGACCAGCCACACUGGAACUGAGACACGGUCCAGACUCCUACGGGAGGCAGCAGUGGGGAAUUUUGGACAAUGGGCGCAAGCCUGAUCCAGCCAUUCCGCGUGGGUGAAGAAGGCCUUCGGGUUGUAAAGCUCUUUCGCAAGGGAAGAAAACUUACUUUCUAAUAAAGAGUGAGGUUGACGGUACCUUGAUAAGAAGCACCGGCUAACUACGUGCCAGCAGCCGCCGUAA
rnacentral:rRNA from 1 species